rnacentral:rRNA from 1 species
UCAGACGAUGCGUCAUGCAUAUCAAUAAGCGGAGGAAAAGAAACUAACAAGGAUUCCCCUAGUAACGGCGAGUGAAGCGGGAAGAGCUCAAAUUUGAAAUCUUAAAGGGUUUCCCUUUACGAAUUGUAGUUUAAAGAAGUGUUUUCUGUUGAGGUUUUGGUAAAAGUUCUUUGGAAUAGGACAUCAUAGAGGGUGAGAAUCCCGUAUUUGACCUUUACUUUCAACUUUGUGAUACACUUUCAAAGAGUCGGAUUGUUUGGGAAUGCAGUCCAAAAUGGGUGGUAAAUUUCAUCUAAAGCUAAGUAUUGGCGAGAGACCGAUAGCGAACAAGUACCGUGAGGGAAAGAUGAAAAGAACUUUGAAAAGAGAGUUAAACAGUACGUGAAAUUGUCAAAAGGGAAGCGUUUGACACCAGUGUUGUUUUUCUGAAAAUCAAUUAAAGAACUGUUUAUGCUAAGUUGUUUAGACUUUAUCAGCUAACUGUUUAGUUUUGAGCUUUUCUUUAAUGCACUUUUCAGUUAACAAGUCAACAUCAAUUUCUUUUGCUGUAAAAAAGCUUGAGGAAGGUGGCUUGAGAUUCGUCUUAAGUGUUUAUAGCCUCUUGCCUAUGCAGUCGGAGAGAUUGAGGUCUGCAGCGUAGAUCCUUCGGGGCUAAAUGCAUUUGUGCUAAGUUAUAGCAUUUUAUAGACAACUUGUUGACUAUGAUUUGUCUUGUAGCUUACUCGCUUAUGUUAUUUUACCUACGCUUAGGAUGUUGAGCGCAUGUCUCCUCU